AGCGCAACGGAUGCGCUUGAAGCACUAGGACCGCGGGGAAAUGACGUACUCGCUUGGUUCAAAUUUGCAUUUGCCUUGUAGGAAACUAAAACCAGCGGAUGUUCUCUGUAGAUCACUUCUGACAGCAAAACACAGAUCCGUGAGGGAGCAUUCCUGCUAUUAUGGGGGCUUUUCAUUCCGUACCGGAAGAUCAUCACUUUCGGGUUUUGUCUGAGAAGACAGGCUUUUCAUUGGAGCAGAUCAAGAUACUUCAUAAUCGCUUCAAGCAGUUAAGCCACAAUGACGAUGCGCUACGGAAAGAUGAUCUCAACACACUUCCAGACCUAGCAAGCAACCCAAUUCGAUCCCAGAUUGUAGCUGCUUUCUUUGACAGAAGAAACUUCCAGAAAGGAGGUGAAGGCUCAGUUCAAGAAAUUGGCUUUGAGGAGUUCCUCAUUGUCAUGUCUUACUUCAGAGCUCCUUCAGUGCACAUGACAGAGGAGCAGAGAGAAGAGAUAAGGAGGACAAAACUGCGUUUCCUGUUUAACAUGCAUGAUACUGACAAUGAUGGGACCAUAACACUGGAGGAAUACAAACAUGUGGUGGAGGAGCUGCUCUCCAGAAGUGGAUCACUCGGAAGGGAGACAGCCAAGGGCAUUGCUGAUGCUGCCAUGCUGGAGGUUGCUAGCAUUUCAGUGGGUCACAUGGGUCCAGAUGAAUUUUAUGAGGGGAUCACAUUUGAGCAUUUCGUUAAGAUUCUGAAAGGAAUAGAAAUUGAGACGAGGAUGCACAUCCGGUUCUUAAAUGUGGACACAACAAGUCUAUGCAAAUGAUGCCCUAUCAGCAACUGAUAUUUCACCUGAUAUUCCAAGGCACCAAUGAUAACUAUUAAGCUAAAGCUUAACACAAAGGGUUACAGGGAGCCUAGAGCCUAUCCCAGGGAGCAUCGGGCACAAGGCGGGGUACACCCUGGACAGGGUGCCAGUCUAUCACAGGGCACAAUCACAUACACACUCACACGCCCAUUCAUACACUACGGACACUUUAGACACACCAAUCAACCUACCAUCCAUGUCUUUGGACUGGGGGAGGAAACUGGAGCACCCGGAGGAAACCCCCGCAGCACGGGGAGAACAUGCAAACUCCGCAUACACAUGGCCCCAGCGGGAAUCGAACCCCGGAGGUGUGAGGCGAACGUGCUAACCACUAAGCCGCCGUGCACCCCUAGUGACAUUAUAUUUUUUACAAUGUGAAAACAGACUCUUAAAACAGAUGUGUUAAAAAAAUAA